rnacentral:rRNA from 1 species
GUAGGGUCCAAGCGUUAAUCGGAAUUACUGGGCGUAAAGCGUGCGCAGGCGGUUGUGCAAGACCGAUGUGAAAUCCCCGAGCUUAACUUGGGAAUUGCAUUGGUGACUGCACGGCUAGAGUGUGUCAGAGGGGGGUAGAAUUCACGUGUAGCAGUGAAAUGCGUAGAGAUGUGGAGGUAUACCGAUGGCGAAGGCAGCCCCCUGGGACGUGACUGACGCUCAUGCACGAAAGCGUGGGGAGCAAACAGGAUUAGAUACCCUGGUAGUCCACGCCCUAAACGAUGUCAACUAGUUGUUGGGGAUUCAUUUUCUCAGUAACGUAGCUAACGCGUGAAGUUGACCGCCUGGGGAGU